GGGGUUGUGGCUCAGCGGUAGAGCGCUUGCCUAGCACGAAUGAGGCCCUGGGUUCUAUUCUCAGCACCA
rnacentral:tRNA from 1 species